GGGAACAUAGCUCAAGAGGUAGAGCAAUUGCCUAAAUACACACUGUGCCCUGGGUUCAAUCCCCAGUAUCACCA
rnacentral:tRNA from 1 species